AACGCGAAGAACCUUACCAGAUCUUGACAUCCCCCUGACAGCAUGCGCAGAGCAUGUUCCUUUCGGGGCGGGGGAGACAGGUGGUGCAUGGUUGUCGUCAGCUCGUGUCGUGAGAUGUUGGGUUAAGUCCCGCAACGAGCGCAACCCCUGUCCUUAGUAGCCAGCGGAUAGAGCCGGGCACUCUAGGGAGACAGCCGGGGACAACCCGGAGGAAGGCGGGGAUGAUGUCAAAUCAUCAUGCCCCUUAUGAUCUGGGCUACACACGUGCUACAAUGGCGUAAACAGAGGGAAGCGAAGGAGCGAUCCGGAGCGAAUCCAGAAACGACGUCCCAGUUCGGAUUGCAGGCUGCAACCCGCCUGCAUGAAGCUGGAAUCGCUAGUAAUCGCGGAUCAGCA
rnacentral:rRNA from 1 species